AGAGUUUGAUCCUGGCUCAGGACGAACGCUGGCGGCGUGCUUAACACAUGCAAGUCGAACGAUGAAGCCCUUCGGGGUGGAUUAGUGGCGAACGGGUGAGUAACACGUGGGCAAUCUGCCCUGCACUCUGGGACAAGCCCUGGAAACGGGGUCUAAUACCGGAUGACACUUCCUUCCGCAUGGGAGGAGGUUGAAAGCUCCGGCGGUGCAGGAUGAGCCCGCGGCCUAUCAGCUUGUUGGUGGGGUGAUGGCCUACCAAGGCGACGACGGGUAGCCGGCCUGAGAGGGCGACCGGCCACACUGGGACUGAGACACGGCCCAGACUCCUACGGGAGGCAGCAGUGGGGAAUAUUGCACAAUGGGCGAAAGCCUGAUGCAGCGACGCCGCGUGAGGGAUGACGGCCUUCGGGUUGUAAACCUCUUUCAGCAGGGAAGAAGCGAAAGUGACGGUACCUGCAGAAGAAGCGCCGGCUAACUACGUGCCAGCAGCCCGCCGGUAAUACGUAGGGCGCAAGCGUUGUCCGGGAAUUAUUGGGCGUAAAGAGCUCGUAGGCGGCUUGUCACGUCGGAUGUGAAAGCCCGGGGCUUAACCCCGGGUCUGCAUUCGAUACGGGCAGGCUAGAGUGUGGUAGGGGAGAUCGGAAUUCCUGGUGUAGCGGUGAAAUGCGCAGAUAUCAGGAGGAACACCGGUGGCGAAGGCGGAUCUCUGGGCCAUUACUGACGCUGAGGAGCGAAAGCGUGGGGAGCGAACAGGAUUAGAUACCCUGGUAGUCCACGCCGUAAACGUUGGGAACUAGGUGUUGGCGACAUUCCACGUCGUCGGUGCCGCAGCUAACGCAUUAAGUUCCCCGCCUGGGGAGUACGGCCGCAAGGCUAAAACUCAAAGGAAUUGACGGGGGCCCGCACAAGCAGCGGAGCAUGUGGCUUAAUUCGACGCAACGCGAAGAACCUUACCAAGGCUUGACAUAUACCGGAAAGCAUCAGAGAUGGUGCCCCCCUUGUGGUCGGUAUACAGGUGGUGCAUGGCUGUCGUCAGCCUCGUGUCGUGGAGAAUGUUGGGUUAAGUCCCGCAACGAGCGCAACCCUUGUUCUGUGUUGCCAGCAUGCCCUUCGGGGUGAUGGGGACUCACAGGAGACUGCCGGGGUCAACUCGGAGGAAGGUGGGGACGACGUCAAGUCAUCAUGCCCCUUAUGUCUUGGGCUGCACACGUGCUACAAUGGCCGGUACAAUGAGCUGCGAUGCCGUGAGGCGGAGCGAAUCUCAAAAAGCCGGUCUCAGUUCGGAUUGGGGUCUGCAACUCGACCCCAUGAAGUCGGAGUUGCUAGUAAUCGCAGAUCAGCAUUGCUGCGGUGAAUACGUUCCCGGGCCUUGUACACACCGCCCGUCACGUCACGAAAGUCGGUAACACCCGAAGCCGGUGGCCCAACCCCUUGUGGGAGGGAGCUGUCGAAGGUGGGACUGGCGAUUGGGACGAAGUCGUAACAAGGUAACC
rnacentral:rRNA from 1 species